UGAAAGAUGAUUAAUGGCACCUUAUUUCAUGCUACCCCACGUUACUGCAAUUGAACUGACAAAUAUUUACUUUGAGAUCCGAGUGACUGAAAAUAUUUGGCUGGAGCCAGAUGCGUCGCGUGUCUGUCCCUGAAAUAUUAGCUAAAGGAGUGAUUUAGCAAAAUAAAAUGGAAGCUGGGUUCUUGACAACACUCUGGCCUGCAGUUCUACAGGUGGGGCAGUGGCACUCCUCUGGCUGAUUGGUCCACUUUGUAUGUCUCUGGCUGAAGUACUGGAGAUUGAACCCAGGGCCUGGUACAUGCCAGAGAAGUCUGCUACUACAACUGCAUCCCCAGUCAGUAAUCAUUGAUUUUUACCAGAAUGAGAUCAUACUUUGUAUACCACUCACCAACUUGCUUAACUGCAUGUCAAAUUCCCAGCAUUACAAUAGAGGAAUGUUCCCCCAGCCUCUGCUGAUGGCUUCUUGCCAGUAUUCCACUGCUUUAAACAAUACUCUGUACUAGGUAUGGUGGUGCACACCUGUAAUCCUACCACUCUGGGAGGCUGAGGCAAGAAGAUCCAAGUUUGAACCCAGCCUGGGCAACUUAGCAAUGUAGUGAGAUCCUGUGUCAAAAUAAAAAUAAUAAAAGGGCCUGGUGUGGUGGUGGAUGCCUGUCAUCCCAGGAUUCAGAAGGCCGAGACAGGAAGAUGGCUGCAAGUUUGAGUUCAAGUCCAUAGCAAGACCUGUCUCAAAAAACCUAAUUAAUUAAUUAAUUAAAAGAGCAGGGGACACAGCUCAGUGUGAAAGUUCAAUCCCCAGUACUGAAAAACAAAGUAAGUUCUAAUGAAUAUCCUUGUGUAUUACUAUACCCUUUUAUUUUUGACAUUGCUUUGAGACAGACCAGACCCCAUCUUUAAAAGCUGCAGAGAGGAGAUUCAGUAGGUUUAUGAGCAAUAAAGCAGUCAGUCAGCAGAGUUGUUUCAAAAUAGAUUAGAUAAACUAUACUUAGGAAUAGCAGACAGAAUCACACCACACACAAAUUCAAAGAACUUCCUGUGAAGCUUGUAUACUCCCCAACUCUUUUCCUUUCUACCUGAGUGCAGACCUGAGGCUGAACCAGUUAUCUUCCAUAUCCAAGUUUCCUUGGGCAAACCUAGACCUGAAGGGCAUUAUCAUAUUGAUAUAUGAGAUAGGGCAUAGCAAAGCUGUCUGGGAAAAUGAGCCAGACUUGUCAAUUACAAGAUCCCAGGGCAAUACCAGGACCCAUAUGCAGAACUUCUCAUGGCUCCCAGGAGAUGUGGACAGCAUGAAAGAAGACUGGAUGCCACUGGAAGCUUGCUUUGUGAAUUUCUAUGAUACCCCAUGCUGCGUUUCCCAGAUGCAAUGUGUACUUUUAUUUUUGGUUUUACCCUUUUUCACUCUUGUUCUGCCCAAGUUUGAUCUGCAGAGCUAGUUUUUCCCUCGCUUACCCUUCAAUUUUCUUUUUUUAAGACAGGGUCUUGCUAUGUAGUUCAGGCUGGCCUUGAGCU